rnacentral:rRNA from 1 species
GGGUUGUGAGGUUAAGCGACUAAGCGUACACGGUGGAUGCCCUGGCAGUCAGAGGCGAUGAAGGACGUGCUAAUCUGCGAUAAGCGUCGGUAAGGUGAUAUGAACCGUUAUAACCGGCGAUUUCCGAAUGGGGAAACCCAGUGUGUUUCGACACACUAUCAUUAACUGAAUCCAUAGGUUAAUGAGGCGAACCGGGGGAACUGAAACAUCUAAGUACCCCGAGGAAAAGAAAUCAACCGAGAUUCCCCCAGUAGCGGCGAGCGAACGGGGAGCAGCCCAGAGCCUGAAUCAGUGUGUGUGUUAGUGGAAGCGUCUGGAAAGGCGCGCGAUACAGGGUGACAGCCCCGUACACAAAAAUGCACAUGCUGUGAGCUCGAUGAGUAGGGCGGGACACGUGGUAUCCUGUCUGAAUAUGGGGGGACCAUCCUCCAAGGCUAAAUACUCCUGACUGACCGAUAGUGAACCAGUACCGUGAGGGAAAGGCGAAAAGAACCCCGGCGAGGGGAGUGAAAAAGAACCUGAAACCGUGUACGUACAAGCAGUGGGAGCACGCUUAGGCGUGUGACUGCGUACCUUUUGUAUAAUGGGUCAGCGACUUAUAUUCUGUAGCAAGGUUAACCGAAUAGGGGAGCCGAAGGGAAACCGAGUCUUAACUGGGCGUUAAGUUGCAGGGUAUAGACCCGAAACCCGGUGAUCUAGCCAUGGGCAGGUUGAAGGUUGGGUAACACUAACUGGAGGACCGAACCGACUAAUGUUGAAAAAUUAGCGGAUGACUUGUGGCUGGGGGUGAAAGGCCAAUCAAACCGGGAGAUAGCUGGUUCUCCCCGAAAGCUAUUUAGGUAGCGCCUCGUGAAUUCAUCUCCGGGGGUAGAGCACUGUUUCGGCAAGGGGGUCAUCCCGACUUACCAACCCGAUGCAAACUGCGAAUACCGGAGAAUGUUAUCACGGGAGACACACGGCGGGUGCUAACGUCCGUCGUGAAGAGGGAAACAACCCAGACCGCCAGCUAAGGUCCCAAAGUCAUGGUUAAGUGGGAAACGAUGUGGGAAGGCCCAGACAGCCAGGAUGUUGGCUUAGAAGCAGCCAUCAUUUAAAGAAAGCGUAAUAGCUCACUGGUCGAGUCGGCCUGCGCGGAAGAUGUAACGGGGCUAAACCAUGCACCGAAGCUGCGGCAGCGACGCUGAUGCGUUGUUGGGUAGGGGAGCGUUCUGUAAGCCUGCGAAGGUGUGCUGUGAGGCAUGCUGGAGGUAUCAGAAGUGCGAAUGCUGACAUAAGUAACGAUAAAGCGGGUGAAAAGCCCGCUCGCCGGAAGACCAAGGGUUCCUGUCCAACGUUAAUCGGGGCAGGGUGAGUCGACCCCUAAGGCGAGGCCGAAAGGCGUAGUCGAUGGGAAACAGGUUAAUAUUCCUGUACUUGGUGUUACUGCGAAGGGGGGACGGAGAAGGCUAUGUUGGCCGGGCGACGGUUGUCCCGGUUUAAGCGUGUAGGCUGGUUUUCCAGGCAAAUCCGGAAAAUCAAGGCUGAGGCGUGAUGACGAGGCACUACGGUGCUGAAGCAACAAAUGCCCUGCUUCCAGGAAAAGCCUCUAAGCAUCAGGUAACAUCAAAUCGUACCCCAAACCGACACAGGUGGUCAGGUAGAGAAUACCAAGGCGCUUGAGAGAACUCGGGUGAAGGAACUAGGCAAAAUGGUGCCGUAACUUCGGGAGAAGGCACGCUGAUAUGUAGGUGAAGUCCCUUGCGGAUGGAGCUGAAAUCAGUCGAAGAUACCAGCUGGCUGCAACUGUUUAUUAAAAACACAGCACUGUGCAAACACGAAAGUGGACGUAUACGGUGUGACGCCUGCCCGGUGCCGGAAGGUUAAUUGAUGGGGUCAGCGCAAGCGAAGCUCUUGAUCGAAGCCCCGGUAAACGGCGGCCGUAACUAUAACGGUCCUAAGGUAGCGAAAUUCCUUGUCGGGUAAGUUCCGACCUGCACGAAUGGCGUAAUGAUGGCCAGGCUGUCUCCACCCGAGACUCAGUGAAAUUGAACUCGCUGUGAAGAUGCAGUGUACCCGCGGCAAGACGGAAAGACCCCGUGAACCUUUACUAUAGCUUGACACUGAACAUUGAGCCUUGAUGUGUAGGAUAGGUGGGAGGCUUUGAAGUGUGGACGCCAGUCUGCAUGGAGCCGACCUUGAAAUACCACCCUUUAAUGUUUGAUGUUCUAACGUUGACCCGUAAUCCGGGUUGCGGACAGUGUCUGGUGGGUAGUUUGACUGGGGCGGUCUCCUCCUAAAGAGUAACGGAGGAGCACGAAGGUUGGCUAAUCCUGGUCGGACAUCAGGAGGUUAGUGCAAUGGCAUAAGCCAGCUUGACUGCGAGCGUGACGGCGCGAGCAGGUGCGAAAGCAGGUCAUAGUGAUCCGGUGGUUCUGAAUGGAAGGGCCAUCGCUCAACGGAUAAAAGGUACUCCGGGGAUAACAGGCUGAUACCGCCCAAGAGUUCAUAUCGACGGCGGUGUUUGGCACCUCGAUGUCGGCUCAUCACAUCCUGGGGCUGAAGUAGGUCCCAAGGGUAUGGCUGUUCGCCAUUUAAAGUGGUACGCGAGCUGGGUUUAGAACGUCGUGAGACAGUUCGGUCCCUAUCUGCCGUGGGCGCUGGAGAACUGAGGGGGGCUGCUCCUAGUACGAGAGGACCGGAGUGGACGCAUCACUGGUGUUCGGGUUGUCAUGCCAAUGGCACUGCCCGGUAGCUAAAUGCGGAAGAGAUAAGUGCUGAAAGCAUCUAAGCACGAAACUUGCCCCGAGAUGAGUUCUCCCUGACCCUUUAAGGGUCCUGAAGGAACGUUGAAGACGACGACGUUGAUAGGCCGGGUGUGUAAGCGCAGCGAUGCGUUGAGCUAACCGGUACUAAUGAACCGUGAGGCUUAACCUUACAACGCCGAAGGUGUUU